rnacentral:rRNA from 1 species
CAGUCGCCGCGGUAAUACGUAGGGUGCGAGCGUUAAUCGGAAUUACUGGGCGUAAAACGUGCGCAGGCGGUUAUAUAAGACAGAUGUGAAAUCCCCGGGCUCAACCUGGGACCUGCAUUUGUGACUGUAUAGCUAGAGUACGGUAGAGGGGGAUGGAAUUCCGCGUGUAGCAGUGAAAUGCGUAGAUAUGCGGAGGAACACCGAUGGCGAAGGCAAUCCCCUGGACCUGUACUGACGCUCAUGCACGAAAGCGUGGGGAGCAAACAGGAUUAGAGACCCCUGUAGUCCCUGUCUCUUAUAC